rnacentral:lncRNA from 1 species
GGAAAACGUGUGUAAAAAGGCCAUGUUCUAAUGUCUCCACUGUGCGACCCAGGGACGUAGAUGCCAGUUUAUGGUCUGCUCUCGGGAACCACCAGCGAACCUUAAGCAUCUGACUCCUCAGCUCAGAGCCUUACACCCGUAGUUACUGAUGUUGAUUGGAAGUAUGAGUUAUCUGCUCCCAGCCUUCUUCAGAGCUGUUGUGAAAGUGAACGAUGUAUGUGUCUGUCUGCAGAAAGCUUUCCAGAAUUAAACAUCUCACUGUUCCUUGAGAAAAGCUUACUGAGCAUCUUUAAGAUGGCUAUUUUGGAUUCUUUGUCAGCAGCCCCCAACCUACUGCCCAAACUGCUGUUCCCAUCAGUGUUCUAAGUCAGACAAGACAGAAGCCAGUCCCUUGAGCAGCCCCCCAAGAGAAUGUUGGAUGCACAGCUCACUCUUUUUCCUGCUUGAGGGAGAAGCUGGAGUUGGG